AAAAAAUUAGUUAAUUUAAUAACAUUAAUUUGUCAAAUUAAAGUAAAUAAAUAUUUAUAUUAUUUUUUU
rnacentral:tRNA from 1 species